rnacentral:rRNA from 1 species
CGGCAUCACGAAGACUACACUGUCUCCCCCCUAAAAUCAAUGAAACUAAUCUCCUCGUGAAGAAGCGAGGAUACAAAUAUAAGACGAGAAGACCCCAUGGAGCUUUAAACAAACCCCAACUGCUCCCUCCCUAAUCAUAGAAAUUGAGCAUUAAUGACGGGUAGUUUUCGGUUGGGGUGACCGCGGAGUAAAACAAAACCUCCACAAUGAAUGUAAUAAAAUACUAAUAAAAGAACCACAAUUCUAAUAAUCAAAAAAUUGACAUAUUUGACCCAAACACUUGAUCAAUGAACCAAGUUACCCUGGGGAUAACAGCGCAAUCCAUUUUAAGAGCCCCUAUCGACAAAUGGGUUUACGACCUCGAUGUUGGAUCAGGGUAUCCUAGUGGUGCAGCCGCUACUAACGGUUCGUUUGUUCAACGAUUAAAACCCUACGUGAUCUG